CGAGGCGGGGACUCAGAGCCAGCCCCUCUUUCAACCUGGCUCUUAGGACCCCCAUCGCUGGGGGGGAGGCAUCCCCCGCGAGGCGGGGACUGAGAGCCAGCCCCUCCCACCCUCAGCUCUUAGGACUCUCAUUGCAUGGGGGGAGGCAAACCCCACGAGGCGGGGACUCAGAGCCAGCCCCUCUUCCCCCCCUGGCUCUUGGGAUCCCCAUCGCAAGUGGGGGAGGCACCCUCCGCGAGGCGGGGACUGAGAGCCAGCCCCUCUUCCCCCCUGGCUCUAGGGACCCCCAUCGCAGGGGGUGGAGGCACCCCACGCGAUGCGGGGACUGAGAGCCAGUCCCUCACCUCCCCCCGACUCUUCGGACCCCCAUCGCAGGCGGGGAGGCACCCCAUGCGAGGCGGAGACUGAGAGCCAGCCCCUCUUCCCCCUCUGGCUCUUAGGACCCCCAUCGCAAGGGGGGGAGGCACCCCCCGCGAGGCGAGGACUGAGAGGCAGCCCCUCUUCCCCCCCUGGCUCUUAGGUCCCCCAUCGCAGGGCGGGAAGCACACCCCACAAGGCCGGGACUGAGAGCCAGCGCCUCUCCCCCGCGGGCUGUUAGGACCCCCACCGCAGGAGUGGGAGACACACCCCAGGAGGCCGGGACUGAGAGCCAGCCCCUCUCCCCCCGCUGGCUAUUAAGACACCCAUCCGAGCGGGGUGAGGCACCUCCUAGGAGGCGGGGACUGAGAGCCAGCCCCUCUUUCAACCUGGCUCUUAGGACCCCCAUCGCAAGGGGGGGAGGCAUCCCCCGUGAGGCGGGGACUGAGAGCCAGCCCCUCUUCCCCCUCUGGCUCUUGGGACCCCCAUCGCAGGGGUGGGAGGCACCCCCCGCGAGGCGGGGACUGAGAGCCAGCCCCUCUUCCCCGCCUGGCUCUUAGGUGCCCCUUCGCGGGGGGGUGAAGCACCCCCCACGAGGCGGGGAUUGAGAGCCAGCGCCUCUCCCCCCCCCCCCCCGGGCUAUUAGGACCCGAUCGCAGGAGGGGGAGACACACCCCAGGAGGCCGGGACUGAGAGCCAGCCCCUCUCCCCCCGCUGGCUAUUAAGACACCCAUCGCAGGGGGUGAGGCAUCCCCUGCGAGGCGGGGACUCAGAGCCAGCCCCUCCGUCAACCUGGCUCUUAGGACCCCCAUCGCAGGGGGGGGAGGCAUCCCCCGCGAGGCGGGGACUGAGAGCCAGCCCCUCUUCCCCCCCAUGGCUCUUAGGAUCCCCAAUGCAGGCGCGUGGCACCCCCCGCGAGGCGGGGACUGAGAGCCAGCACCUCUUCCCCGCCUGUGUCUUAGAACUGACAUCGCAGCGGGGGAGGCACUCCUCACGAGGCAGGGACUGAGAGCCAGCCCCUCCCACCCCCGGCUCUUAGGACCCCCAUCGCAGUGGGGGGAGGCACCACCCAAGAGACGGGGACUGAGAGCCAGCCCCUCUUCCCCCCCGGCCCUUGGGACCCCUAUCGCAAGGGGGGGAGGCACCCCCCGAGAGGCGGGGAUCGAGAGCCUGCCCCUAUUCUCCCCAUUGGCUCUUAGGACCCCCAUCGCAGGGGGGGAGGCACCCCCCGCGAGUUGGGGACUGAGAGCCAGCCCCUAUUCCCCCCUGGCUCUUAGGACACCCAUCGCAGGGGUGGGAGGCACUUCCAGCGAGGCGGGGACUAAGAGCCAGCCCCUCUUCCCCACCUGGAUUAGGACCCCCACUGCGGAUUCUAAGAUCCUUAGCACCCACCUGGAGGACUGUGGGUUUUAGAUGUCCAAGAAGAAAGAUCAGAUCUGCCGACGGCAGGACCCCCAUCGCGGAUCCUAAGAUCCUUACGACCCACCUGGAGGACUGUGGGUAUUAGCUGCCCAAGAAGAAAGCUCAGAACUGCCGACCUUACUUGGGAUUUACUAUCCGACAGGGGUCCGAACGCAGCUCGGGAUCCGAAGGAAAGCAGGACCCCCAUCGCAGGAGGAGGAGACACACCCCAGGAGGCCGGGACUGAGAGCCAGCCCCUCUCCCGCCGCUGGCUAUUAAGACACCCAUCGCAGGGGGAUCCCCAUCGCAAGGGGGGAAGACACCGCCCGCGACUCGGGGACUCAGAGCCAGCGCCUCUCCCCCCCCCCAGGCUAUUAGGACCCCCAUCGCAGGAGGGGGAGACACACCCCAGGAGGCCGGGACUGAGAGCCAGCCCCUCUCCCCCCGCUGGCUAUUAAGACACCCAUCGCAGGGGGUGAGGCACCCCCUACGAGGCGGGGACUCAGAGCCAGCCCCUCUUUCAACCUGGCUCUUAGGACCCCCAUCGCAGGGGGGGAGGCAUCCCCCGCGAGGGGGGGACUGAGAGCCAGCCCCUCUUGCCCCCCAUGGCUCUUAGGACCCCCAAUGCAGGCGCGUGGCACCCCCCGCGAAGCGGGGACUGAGAGCCAGCCCCUCCCACCCACGGCUCUUCGGACUCUCAUUGCAGGGGGUGAGGCAAACCCCGCGAGGCGGGGACUCAGAGCCAGCCCCUCUUCCCCCCCUGGCUCUAGGGACCCCCAUCGCAGGGGGUGGAGGCACCCCACGCGAUGUGGGGACUGAGAGCCAGUCCCUCAACCCCCCCGACUCUUCGGACCCCAUUCGCAGGCGGGGAGGCACCCCAUGCGAGGCGGGGACUGAGAGCCAGCCCCUCUUCCCGCGCUGGCUCUUAGGACCCCCAUCGCAGCGGGGGGAGGCACCCCCGCGAGGCGGGGACUGAGAGGCAGCCCCUCUUCCCCCCCUGGCUCUUAGGUCCCCCAUCGCGAGGGGGGGAGGCAUCCCCCGCGAGGCGGGGACUGAGAGCCAGCCCCUCUUCCACCCCAUGGCUCUUAGGACCCCCAAUGCAGGCGCGUGGCAACCCCCGCGAGGCGGGGACUGAGAGCCAGCACCUCUUCCCGGCCUGUGUCUUAGAACUGACAUCGCAGCGGGGGAGGCACUCUUCAGGAGGCGGGGACUGAGAGCCAGCCCCUCCCACCCCCGGCUCUUAGGACCCCCAUCGCAGUGGGGGGCGGCACCACCCGAGAGACGGGGAUCGAGAGCCUGCCCCUAUUCCCCCCCUUGGCUCUUAGGACCCCCAUCGCAGGGGUGGGAGGCACUUCCAGCGAGGCGGGGACUGAGAGCCAGCCCCUCUUCCCCCCCACUGGCUUUUAGGAUCCCCAUCGCAAGGGGGGAAGACACAGCCCGCGAGUUGGGGACUGAGAGCCAGCCCCUCUUCCCCCCCAGGCUCUUGGGACCCCCAUUGCAGGGGGGGAGGCACCCCCCGCGAAGCGGGGACUGAGAGCCGGCCCCUCUUCCCCCCCUGGCUUUGGACCCGCACCGCAGAUUCUAAGAUCCUUAGCACCCACCUGGAGGACUGUGGGUUUUAGGUGUCCAAGAAGAAAGAUCAGAUCUGCCGACGGCAGUUACCUUACAUGGGAUUUACUAUCCGAAAGGGGUCCGAACGCAGCUCGGGAUCAGAAAAACAGCAGUUCAUUUGCAAUGUACCGGAGCCAGCCCCUCUUCCCCCACUUGCUCUUAGGACCCCCAUCGCAGCGGGGCAGGCACACACCGCAAGGCGGGAACUGAGAGCCAGCCCCACUUCCCCCCUGGCUCUUGGGACCCCCAUCGCUGUGCGGGGAGGCACCCCCUGCGAAGCGGGGACUGAGAGCGAGUCCCUCACCCUGCCCCAGCUCUUCGGACCCCCAUCGCAGGGGGGGGCACCCACCGGGAGGCGGGAACUGAGAGCCAGCCCCUCUACCCCCCGUGGCUCUUAGGAGCCCCAUCGCAGGGUGGGAGGCCACCCAGCGAGGCAAGGAUUGAGGGCCCGCCCCUCUUCCUCCCCUGGCUCUUAGGAGCCCCAUCGCGGGUGGGGGAGGCACCCCCCGCGAGGCAGGGAGUGAGAGCCAGCCUCUCUUCCUCCCCUGGCUCUUAGGACCCCCAUCGCAGUGGGUGGAGGCACCCCCCGCGAGGCGGGGACUGAGAGCAAGCCCCUUUUCCCCCCCUGGCUCUUAGGACACCCAGCGCAGAGGUGGGAGGCACCCCCUGCGAGGCAGGAACUGAGAGCCAGAUCCACUUACCCCCGGCUCUUGGGAUCCCCAUCGCAGAGGGGGGAGGCACCCCACACGAGGUGGGGACUGAGAGCCAGCCCCUCUGCCCCCCCUGGCUAUUAGGACCCCCAUCGCAGGGGGGAGAGGCAACCCCCGCGAGGCAGGGACGGAGAUCCUGCCCCUCUUCCCCCCUUGGCUCUUAGGACCCCCAUCGCAGGCGCUUGGCACCCCACGCGAGGCGGGUACUGAGAGCCAGCUCCUCUUCCCCCCCCCCCCGUCUCUUAGGACUGCCGUCGCAGGGGGGGAGGUACCCCCCGCGAGGCAGAGACUGAGAGAAAGCCCCUCUUCACCUCUGGCUCUUAGGCCCCCAUCCCGGGGGGUGAGGCACCCCAUGCGAGGCGGGGACUGAGAGCCAGCACCUAUUCCCACCCUGUCUCUUAGGACUGCCAUCGCACGGGGGGAGGUAUCCCCCGCGAGGCAGGGACUGAGAGCCAGCCCCUCUUCACCCCUGGCUCUUAGGCCUCCAUCGCAGGGGCGGGGAGGCACCCCAUGUGAGGCGGGGACUGAGAGCCAGCCCCUAUUCCCCACCUGGCCCUUGGGACCCCCAUCGCAGUGGGGGAGGCACCACCCGCGAGGCGGGGAGUGAAAGCCAGCCCCUCUUCCCCCACUGGCUCUUAGGAACCCCAACGCAGAGGGGGAAGGCACCCCCCGCGAGGCGGGGACUGAGAGCCAGCCCCUCUUCCCCCGCUGGCUCUUCGGACCCCAAUCACGGGGUGGAGGCACCUUCCGCGAGGCGGGGAACUAGAUCCAGCCCCUCUUCUCCCCGUGGCUCUUAGGACCCCCAUCGCAGUGGGAGGAGGCACCCCCCGCGAGGUGGGGACUGAGAGCCAGUUCCUCUUCCCCCCCGGCUCUUGGGACUGGCAUCGCAGGGGUGGGAGGCACCCCCUACGCAGCGGGGACUGAGAGCCAGACCCUCUCCCACCCCUGGCUAUUAGGACCCCAUCGCAGGGGGGAGGAGGCACCCCCCGCGAGUCGGGGACUGAGAGCCAGCUCCUCUUCCCCGCCUGGCUCUUAGGAUCCGCGGUGGACUCACAGCCUGUUUACCAUAUUGACCAUGGGAACAAUAUCCCAGGGGGGUUUCCACUUUCUGCCAUAUAUGUAGUCACAUCACCCACUCCGCCUUGGAAUAUUAUUAAGGACCAUCUAACACGAGGGUGUAUACGUCCUGCGAUAUUGGGAGUAAUAUCAACUUCUCGGCCUCUGCAUAUGAGGAAGAAUAUCACAGGGAUAUUAAUAACAAUUUCACAGGCUGGGUGAACACAGCCGGCGAUGCUGAAAUUAUCAUCAUCCUCUCCCCCUCUUCCCCUCCUGGCUCUCAGUCCCCGCCUCACGGGUUAUGUAGCGGAUUAUGGCAAGAAGACAAACUGCAGUUUCCUGCACAGAACAGCACAAACAAUGAUCCAAGCUCAGUUACAACACAAUAUUGGUCAUCAUUUGACCAUGGACUUCAUAUCAACCCUUAGAAAUGUUCCUAAAACAGGUCAGCAAAACACCAAGAAGCAAUAUCCUGAAUGAUAGGAAAAUAUCCUUCCUUGUGCAAAUUGUUUCCACUUAAAUUAAUUUUUUUCAACAAAUGUUAAUUAUAUUUUUACUUUCUAAAACUUUUUAAUAAAAUAUAGCCUCCUUGGUUAAAAAUGGUGUCAAAGCUUUUCUAA